CAGUAGCCGCGGGAAUACAGAGGAUGCAAGCGUUAUCCGGAAUGAUUGGGCGUAAAGCGUCUGUAGGUGGCUUUUCAAGUCCGCCGUCAAAUCCCAGGGCUCAACCCUGGACAGGCGGUGGAAACUACUAAGCUGGAGUACGGUAGGGGCAGAGGGAAUUUCCGGUGGAGCGGUGAAACGCGUUGAGAUCGGAAAGAACACCAACGGCGAAAGCACUCUGCUGGGCCGACACUGACACUGAGAGACGAAAGCUAGGGGAGCAAAUGGGAUUAGAUACCCCCGUAGUCCCUGUCUCUUAUAA
rnacentral:rRNA from 1 species